ensembl:lncRNA
CUUGGGAGGAGGGAGCUCACACCACAUCCAGUGGGUGCAGCUUUAUCUCUUCAUGAAGGAUUGAAUACUGUUCUGUUCACAUGAAGUCUGCAAAUAGAGUCAAAUUAAAAGAGAUGGAAAACAGAAAAUGACCUCAUCACUGACGGUCUCGACACCAGCCUCUUUGCAUCUUUGCCCCAGGAGACCUGAAGGCACCAUAGAGGAGGUUCAGGGCUGGGACCUAGCAGUGACCACAGGCAUCAUCCAGCGCAAACACAGAAACUAGGUGGGCCUAGAGGGGGGUCUUCCAGACUCCUUAUCGAGUGCUGCUUCUGCUGUGCUCACUGCCUCCAUGACCCAGCCUCGCUGGAGCUGACCUUCUAUAGUGUCGCAGGGAGAAGCCUCUAAAGCAAGCUUCCAUAAAGUGGGCUUUGUUAAGAGGAUUCAGAGGACUCUCACCAAACCUGAGGGCACAGAUUGCAGACAGGCCUCCCAGGGAGCUGCAGCCAGCAAACCCUGAGGACAGAGGCCAGGAACCUGCAGGAUCUCUGCCUCUGUGACUUGAUGGAUGCCUAUGGACUCGCUAAGUCUGGGACUCCGGUCUGUCUGUGUCCCUCUUUCUCGAUGUCUGC